rnacentral:rRNA from 1 species
GUUAGGAAUAUUGGACAAUGGGCGCAAGCCUGAUCCAGCCAUGCCGCGUGAGUGAUGAAGGCCUUCGGGUUGUAAAGCUCUUUAGUCCACGAAUAUAAUGACUGUAGUGGAAGAAUAAGCCCCGGCUAACUUCGUGCCAGCAGCCACGGUAAUACGAAGGGGGCGAGCGUUAUUCGGAAUCACUGGGCGUAAAGCGUGCGUAGGCUGUUUUGUAAGUCAGAAGUGAAAGCCCAGGGCUUAACCCUGGAAUUGCUUUUGAAACUACAAGACUCGAAUUCGGGAGAGGAUAGCGGAAUUGUCAGUGUAGCAGUGAAAUGCGUAUAUAUUGACAGGAACACCAGUGGCGCAAGCGGCUAUCUGGACCGAUAUUGACGCUGAGGCACGAAAGCGUGGGGAGCAAACAGGAUUAGAAACCCGAGUAGUCC